rnacentral:rRNA from 1 species
GACGAACGCUGGCGGCGUGCUUAACACAUGCAAGUCGAACGGAAAGGCCCUGCUUUUGUGGGGUGCUCGAGUGGCGAACGGGUGAGUAACACGUGAGUAACCUGCCCUUGACUUUGGGAUAACUUCAGGAAACUGGGGCUAAUACCGGAUAGGAGCUCCUGCUUCAUGGUGGGCGUUGGAAAGUUUCGGCGGUUGGGGAUGGACUCGCGGCUUAUCAGCUUGUUGGUGGGGUAGUGGCUUACCAAGGCUUGGACGGUAGCCGGCCUGAGAGGGUGACCGGCCACAUUGGGACUGAGAUACGGCCCAGACUCCUACGGGAGGCAGCAGUGGGGAAUAUUGCACAAUGGGCGGAAGCCUGAUGCAGCAACGCCGCGUGCGGGAUGACGGCCUUCGGGUUGUAAACCGCUUUCGCCUGUGACGAAGCGUGAGUGACGGUAAUGGGUAAAGAAGCACCGGCUAACUACGUG